UACGUAGGAGGCAAGCGUUGUCCGGAAUUACUGGGCGUAAAGCGCGUGUAGGCGGUCCGGUAAGUCCGCUGUGAAAAGUCGAGGGCUCAACCCUCGAAUGCCGGUGGAUACUGUCGGGCUCGAGUCCGGAAGAGGCGAGUGGAAUUCCUGGUGUAGCGGUGAAAUGCGCAGAUAUCAGGAGGAACACCAAUGGCGAAGGCAGCUCGCUGGGGACGUGACUGACGCUGAGACGCGAAAAGCGUGGGGGAGCAAAACAGG
rnacentral:rRNA from 1 species